UUGGAGGGCAAGUCUGGUGCCAGCAGCCGCGGUAAUUCCAGCUCCAAUAGCGUAUAUUAAAGUUGUUGCAGUUAAAAAGCUCGUAGUUGAAUUUCGGGAUCAGAUUGUCGGUCGUGCCUCGGUACGUACUGGCAUUAUUGGUUCCUACCUGCUGAAGAACCGCGAUGUCAUUAAUUUGGUGUCGUGGGGAAUCAGGAUUGUUACUUUGAAAAAAUUAGAGUGUUUAGAGCAGGCGCGCGCUUGAAUACAUUAGCAUGGAAUAAUGAAAUAGGACGUUUGAUUCUAUUUUGUUGGCUUCUAGGAUCGACGUAAUGAUUAAUAGGGAUAGUUGGGGGCAUUAGUAUUCAAUUGUCAGAGGUGAAAUUCUUGGAUUUAUUGAAGGCUAACUACUGCGAAAGCAUUUGCCAAGGAUGUUUUCAUUAAUCAAGGACGAAAGUUAGGGGAUCGAAGACGAUCAGAUACCGUCGUAGUCUUAACCAUACAUUAUGCCGACUAGGGAUCGGAUGAUGUUAAUUUUUUAAUGACUCAUUCGGCGCCUUACGGGAAAC
rnacentral:rRNA from 1 species